rnacentral:rRNA from 1 species
GACGAACGCUGGCGGCGUGCUUAACACAUGCAAGUCGAACGGAAAGGCCCUGCUUGCAGGGUACUCGAGUGGCGAACGGGUGAGUAACACGUGGGUGAUCUGCCCUGCACUUCGGGAUAAGCCUGGGAAACUGGGUCUAAUACCGGAUAGGAGCCAUUUUUAGUGUGAUGGUUGGAAAGUUUUUUCGGUGUAGGAUGAGCUCGCGGCCUAUCAGCUUGUUGGUGGGGUAAUGGCCUACCAAGGCGGCGACGGGUAGCCGGCCUGAGAGGGUGGACGGCCACAUUGGGACUGAGAUACGGCCCAGACUCCUACGGGAGGCAGCAGUGGGGAAUAUUGCACAAUGGGCGCAAGCCUGAUGCAGCGACGCCGCGUGGGGGAUGACGGCCUUCGGGUUGUAAACUCCAUUCGCUAGGGACGAAGCUUUUUGUGACGGUACCUAGAGAAGAAGCACCGGCUAACUACGUG